GGACGACUAGCUCAGCUGGUUAGAUCAUGGCGCUAAUAACGCCAAGGUUGUCGGUUCGAUCGCGGAGUUGGCCA
rnacentral:tRNA from 1 species